rnacentral:rRNA from 1 species
GGCGGCAUGCUUUACACAUGCAAGUCGAACGGCAGCACGGGUGCUUGCACCUGGUGGCGAGUGGCGGACGGGUGAGUAAUACAUCGGAACGUAUCCAGAAGAGGGGGAUAACGCAUCGAAAGAUGUGCUAAUACCGCAUAUUCUCUGAGGAGGAAAGCAGGGGAUCGCAAGACCUUGCGCUUUUGGAGCGGCUGAUGUCUGAUUAGCUAGUUGGUGGGGUAAAGGCCUACCAAGGCGACGAUCAGUAGUUGGUCUGAGAGGACGACCAGCCACACUGGGACUGAGACACGGCCCAGACUCCUACGGGAGGCAGCAGUGGGGAAUUUUGGACAAUGGGCGCAAGCCUGAUCCAGCAAUGCCGCGUGAGUGAAGAAGGCCUUCGGGUUGUAAAGCUCUUUCAGUCGAGAAGAAAAGGCUGUGGUAAAUAAUCACAGUUCAUGACGGUAUCGACAGAAGAAGCACCGGCUAACUACGUG